rnacentral:rRNA from 1 species
UACGAAGGGGGCUAGCGUUGCUCGGAAUCACUGGGCGUAAAGGGCGCGUAGGCGGACUCUUAAGUCGGGGGUGAAAGCCCGGGGCUCAACCCUGGAAUUGCCUUCGAUACUGAGAGUCUUGAGUUCGGAAGAGGUUGGUGGAACUGCGAGUGUAGAGGUGAAAUUCGUAGAUAUUCGCAAGAACACCAGUGGCGAAGGCGGCCAACUGGUCCGAUACUGACGCUGAGGCACGAAAGCGUGGGGAGCAAACAGG